UACGAAGGGUGCAAACGUUGCUCGGAAUUAUUGGGCGUAAAGCGCACGUAGGCGGCUUUGCAAGUCGGAUGUGAAAUCCCUCGGCUUAACCAAGGAAGUGCAUCCGAAACUGCAGAGCUUGAGUACUUAAGAGGAUCGCGGAAUUCCCGGUGUAGAGGUGAAAUUCGUAGAUAUCGGGAGGAACACCAGUGGCGAAGGCGGCGAUCUGGGAAGAUACUGACGCUGAGGUGCGAAAGCGUGGGGAGC
rnacentral:rRNA from 1 species